rnacentral:rRNA from 1 species
CUUGACAUGGUCGGAAUCCUUCAGAGAUGGAGGAGUGCUCGAAAGAGAACCGGCGCACAGGUGCUGCAUGGCUGUCGUCAGCUCGUGUCGUGAGAUGUUGGGUUAAGUCCCGCAACGAGCGCAACCCUUGUCAUUAGUUGCUACGAAAGGGCACUCUAAUGAGACUGCCGGUGACAAACCGGAGGAAGGUGGGGAUGACGUCAAGUCCUCAUGGCCCUUAUGGGUAG